UCUGCAGACUCCAGGUGCCUGCUGGUGAUUUACACAAGAACCUUUCAGUGUCCCGUGUUUGCAGAGAUGCGAGAGCCCCUGGAUCCCUGCUGGGCCCUGCCCUGGGGCUCUGGGGGGCACAGGGGCUCCCAAA